GGCCCAAUGGUCUAGUGGUAUGAUUCGCCCUUCGGGUUUGUAUGAUAAUCCUCACGCACAGCGUGAUUGGGCGAGGCCCCGCGUUCGAAUCGCGGUUGGGCCC
rnacentral:tRNA from 1 species